rnacentral:rRNA from 1 species
GACGAACGCUGGCGGCGUGCCUAAUACAUGCAAGUAGAACACUGAAGGAGGAGCUUGCUUCUCUGGAUGAGUUGCGAACGGGUGAGUAACGCGUAGGUAACCUGCCUGGUAGCGGGGGAUAACUAUUGGAAACGAUAGCUAAUACCGCAUAAUAGUAGAUGUUGCAUGACAUUUGCUUAAAAGGUGCAAUUGCAUCACUACCAGAUGGACCUGCGUUGUAUUAGCUAGUUGGUGGGGUAACGGCUCACCAAGGCGACGAUACAUAGCCGACCUGAGAGGGUGAUCGGCCACACUGGGACUGAGACACGGCCCAGACUCCUACGGGAGGCAGCAGUAGGGAAUCUUCGGCAAUGGACGGAAGUCUGACCGAGCAACGCCGCGUGAGUGAAGAAGGUUUUCGGAUCGUAAAGCUCUGUUGUAAGAGAAGAACGAGUGUGAGAGUGGAAAGUUCACACUGUGACGGUAUCUUACCAGAAAGGGACGGCUAACUACGUG